rnacentral:rRNA from 1 species
GACGAACGCUGGCGGCGUGCCUAAUACAUGCAAGUCGAACGGAGUUGCGAACGGGUGAGGAACGCGUAGGUAACUGCCGCAUAGCGGGGGAUAACUAUUGUGAACGAUAGCUAAUACCGCAUCCUGUGAGAUGGACCUGCGUUGGAUUAGCUAGUUGGUGAGGUAAAGGCUCACCAAGGCGACGAUCGAUAGCCGACCUGAGCGGGUGAUCGGGCACACGGGGACUGAGACAAGGGCCAGACUCCUUCCGGAGGCAGGAGUAGGGAAAUUUCGGUAAUUGACGGAAGUCUGACCGAGCACAGCCGCGGGAGUGAAUAAGGUUUUCGGAGUGUAAAGCUCUGUUGUUCGAGAAGCGGUAACUAAACAGAAAGGGACGGCUAACUACGUGCCAGCAGCCGCGGUAAUUC